rnacentral:rRNA from 1 species
UACGAAGGGGGCUAGCGUUGCUCGGAAUCACUGGGCGUAAAGCGCACGUAGGCGGCUUCUUAAGUCGUGGGUGAAAUCCUGGAGCUCAACUCCAGAACUGCCUUCGAUACUGAGGAGCUUGAGUCCGGGAGAGGUGAGUGGAACUGCGAGUGUAGAGGUGAAAUUCGUAGAUAUUCGUAAGAACACCAGUGGCGAAGGCGGCUCACUGGCCCGGUACUGACGCUGAGGUGCGAAAGCGUGGGGAGCAAACAGG